AUUGAACGCUGGCGGCAUGCCUUACACAUGCAAGUCGAACGGCAGCACGGGUGCUUGCACCUGGUGGCGAGUGGCGAACGGAUGAGUAAUAUAUCGGAACGUACCUUAUUGUGGGGGAUAACGCAGCGAAAGCUGUGCUAAUACCGCAUAAUCCCUAAGGGGGAAAGCGGGGGACCGUAAGGCCUCGCGCAAUUAGAGCGGCCGAUACCUGAUUAGCUAGUUGGUGAGGUAAAGGCUCACCAAGGCAACGAUCAGUAGCUGGUCUGAGAGGACGAUCAGCCCCACUGGGACUGAGACACGGCCCAGACUCCUACGGGAGGCAGCAGUGGGGAAUUUUGGACAAUGGGGGCAACCCUGAUCCAGCAAUGCCGCGUGAGUGAAGAAGGCCUUCGGGUUGUAAAGCUCUUUUGUCAGGGAAGAAACAGCAGCUCUAACACAGUUUGCGAAUGACGGUACCUGAAGAAUAAGCACCGGCUAACUACGUGCCAGCCGCCGCAGUAA
rnacentral:rRNA from 1 species